CCAAAUCCGGGUCCAGUCAGAGAAGAAGGUGAUAGUCAAAGAGGUGCAAAAGGAGCUGAAUCAUAAAUAUAAGCAACAUUUCACGUAUCUGGCCAUUGUAAAAUGAUGGUGAGAUGUCAAGAGACAAAACAUUGAUAAGAUCAAAAGGAUCCUUAACCAACAUUGCCCAGAGGCUGAACUUCCACUUGCCAUACGGUGGCAGAGGAGAGCCACCGAGGAUAUGGAGGUGGUGGUAAUGUCGGGAGAGGAGGAGGAGAAUGACGAGAAGGCAGGACCCUCCCAUCAGGAACCUGUUCCAGCAACACCACUAGGAGGUUCUCUUGAAAUUGCUAAAGAAAAUAGAGGAUCUGCAGUGGGAGAAUGACAAGGGGAUGGCUUGUAUAGAGAGCCAGCAACGUAAAAUUGGACAGCAGCAGGAGAGGCUACUCCAGCUGCAGUUGCUUCAGCAGGCAAGCAUUGAAAAGCUCAAGGAGAAGCAAGAGAAGGCCAUGCAAGAGCUGAAGGCAAUCCACAAUGAGC